rnacentral:ncRNA from 1 species
AAAAACUUUUAUUUUCUCAUCGGUAUCUCCCAUCGAACGACAUUUGGAUUCCUCGUCUACACCUCGGUUAAUCGCCGGGGUUUUU